CUGGGCCAUCCUGCCGUGAAUGCUGGAGUUGUCAGCGACCAGGAGCCACUCUGUUCAUCCCCAAGGAGGGUAAAUCACAGCAGGCCUGGUGGAGAAAGAAGAGAAGACGUGAGUCAGGAAUUAGCACAGGGGUGCGUUUCUUCUGAGUUCUCGAAAUAAAGGAAGAGUGGCAACCUUUCUAAUACUUGAAAGCUAAGAUAAAAACAAAACAAAACCAAGAACACUAUUUCAGAGUUUCCCUAUCUGCUGAGAAAUUCCUGUAUCUGAGACAUGGAACCAGUUGUGCGUUGAGAAGAGGCUGGAGGCAAAAGAGAGCAUCAAUCUAGUAUAUCCAUGACACAUGCCAGACUUUCUGGAUCUGGCAGUCUCCUCCUGUGAACUGAGUAUGGGUCCUGGAAUACACCCAGCAGUUUGGGUGGAAGCUUGUCAACUUCUGACAGUUUUGUCCCUGACUAAAACUGAAUAGCUUCCAAGGAAACUCAGGAUUCUCCAAAACUUCAUUUUGAAAGUUCUCUUCAGUUUGAAUUGUGCCUUUAUUCUCCACCUCCCAAGAUGAUUUGGUUGAAACCAUGUUAACAAGGACCCACCCUUGUUAUUUUCAACAUCUUAACAAGAUAACAAGGAGAUUUAUAUGGCAAAGGAAAAAAGCUAGAAUUAGUUUAAAGAUGUUACAGGAUACGAGGUUAAGGGGAGGAUUUGGACUGCCAAACUGGGAACUGUAUUACCAGGCAGCAGCAUUGACUUGGAUGAAGGAAUGGGUAGAAUUAAGGAAUACAAGAUUACUGACUUUGGUAGGACAUGAUUUGUAACUAGGGUGGCAUGCCUUUUUAUGGCAUGGGAGAAGUAAGAUACAUAUGUACUUUCAUAGACAUUACAUAAGAAAUGCACUACUAAUGGCAUGAGAGAAGGUUAAAAAGGGCUGGGAAGUGGCUCACCAGGCUAAUGCAGCCUGUUAUUAACACACAGCUGCCUGCAAUUACAAUUACUGCAGGCUCGAGUCCCACCGGGCCCAAGGUUGACUCAGCCUUCCAUCCUUUAUAAGGUAGGUAAAAUGAGGACCCAGAUUGUUGGGGGGGCAAUAAGUUGACUUUGUAUAUAAAUAUACAAAUAGAAUGAGACUAUUGCCUUACACAAUGUAAGCCGCCCUGAGUCUUCGGAGAAGGGCGGGAUAUAAAUUCAAAUUUUAAAAAAAAGAUAAAUAGUAUAUGAAAAUUCCAACAUGGUUAUCAACAAUAGAGGCUUUAAUACAUCCAAAUACUUUUAAUCUUAGAAAUAUUGUUAGGUAUAAGGACUUGUUAACAGAUAGGAGGGAAUUGAAGCAGAAACAAGAUUUGGAAGAACAGGGGACUGAGUUAGAUUGGUAUAUGUAUAUGCAAAUAGAAGCAAGAUAUCAGAAAGAUGUUAAACUCUAUGGUUUCUAUUUAGAAAAGACUGAGCUGGAUAGGAUUCUCACAGGAACAGAGGACAAAUUAAUCAAAAAAAAUUAUAACUUUUUGUUUUAAUUAGUUAGAAGAGUUAGAAGAGGAACAAGUAAAGGAAACUAUGAUAGCUUGAGCUAAAAUUUUUGGACAUUCAAUAGACCUAGACAAAUGGUAACAGCUAUGGGAGAGGAAUUAUAAAUUAAUAAUGUCCACUGCAUAUAAAGAAAAUCAAUAUAAAAUGUUUUAUAGAUGGCAUAUGCCACCUGAGAAACUGGCAAAAAUGUUUAAAGAUAAAUCAGCUAAAGGUUGGAAAUGUCAUCGGUUACCAGGAUCUUCUUAUCAUAUAUGGUGGACAUGUCCGGAAGCCAAAAACUAUUGGGAGAAAAUAAAGGGUUGGUUAGAAGAAAUGACCCAACAACAUAUUCCUCAGCAGGGCCGUGCUGAGGAAUCUGGAAGUUAUCUGCACGAUAAAAUCGCUCAGAUCCGGGACGGACUGGAUGCAGAUUGGGUGGAUUCGGGCGGGACGACGGAGGCAGGUCUUGAGAAUAUUAUCUGGGCGGAGUUCGACUCUGUGACUCCCGAAGACAUGGACAGGAUAUUAGGGAGGCUGAAUGCUACCACAUGUUUACUGGACCCGUGUCCCUCCUGGCUGGUGCUGGCCACUCAGGAGGUUACACGAGGCUGGCUCCAGGGAAUUAUUAGCGCUUCUCUGGUGGAGGGAGUCUUCCCAGCCGCCUUGAAAGAGGCGGUUGUGAGGCCCCUCCUUAAGAAGCCUUCCCUGGACCCAGCUGUUUUGGCUAAUUAUCGUCCCGUCUCCAACCUUGGCUUUGUGGCGAAGGUUGUUGAGAUGUGGUGGCAUGGCAGCUUCCCCGGUACCUGGAGGAAACUGUCUAUCUAGACCCGUGCCAGUCCGGCUUCAGGCCUGGGUACAGCACGGAAACGGCUUUGGUUGUGUUGGUUGAUGAUCUCUGGAGGGCACGGGACAGAGGUUGUUCCUCUGAUCUUGUCCUGUUAGAUCUGUCAGCGGCUUUUGAUACCAUCGACCAUGGUAUCUUGCUGCGACGGUUGGAGGGUUAGGGAGUGGGGGGCACCAUUUUUCAGUGGUUCUCCUCCUACCUCUCCGACCGUUUGCAGACGGUGUUGACGGGGGGCAGAGGUCGACCGCUAGGCAACUCACUUGUGGGAUGCCACAGGGGUCGAUCCUCUCGUCUCUCCUGUUCAACAUCUAUAUGAAGCCGCUGGGGGAGAUCAUCCGUGGUUUCGGGGUGAGAUGUCAACUGUACGCUGAUGACACUCAGCUAUACAUUUCCACCCCGAACCACCCCAACGAAGCCAUUGAUGUGAUGACCCGGUGCCUUGAGGCCGUUCGGGUCUGGAUGGAGACAAACAGACUCCGACUCAACCCAUCCAAGAUGGAGUGGCUGUGGAUACCAGCGUCCUGGCUGGUAUCCACAGUCAGCUAAUUCCAUCGCUGACUGUGGGGGGCGAAUCGUUGGCCCCCAGGGAAUCGGUGUGCAACUUAGGCGUUCUCCUGGACGCAUGGCUGUCUUUAGAAGACCAUUUGACGGCCGUCGCCAGGGGAGCUUUUUAUCAGGUUCGCCUGAUCUGCCAGUUGCGCCCCUUCCUGGACCGGGACGCUUUAUGCACAGUCACUCAUGCCCUCGUUACUUCUCACCUGGAUUACUGCAAUGCUCUCUACAUGGGGCUCCCCUUGAAGAGCACCAGGAGGCUCCAACUGGUACAAAAUGCGGCUGCGCGGGGGAUAGAGGGAGCAUCGCGUAGCUCCCAUGUAACACCUCUCCUGCGCAGGCUGCAUUGGCUGCCAGUGGUCUUCCGGGUGAGAUUCAAGGUUUUGGUUAUCACCUUUAAAGCGCUCCAUGGGAUGGGACCGGGAUAUUUACGGGACCACCUACUGCCGCCAGUAGCCUCUCAUCGACCGGUGCACUCUCACAGAGAGGGCCUCCUUAGGAUGCCAUCAGCCAAACAAUGUCGGCUGGCGGCUCCCAGGGGAAGAGCAUUCUCUGUGGGGUCUCCGGCCCUGUGGAAUGAACUACCUGUGGGGCUAUGUCUUCUCCCUAAUCUUCGGACCUUUAAGCGCAAGCUCAAAACUUUUUUCUUUCACCAAGCAGGGCUGGCCUAAAGUUUUAAUUGUAGAUUUGUUA